rnacentral:piRNA from 1 species
UCCUGAAACAGGAGCCUCAUCCUCCC